CCUACGGGUGACAGCAGUGAGGAAUAUUGGUCAAUGGACGCAAGUCUGAACCAGCCAUGCCGCGUGCAGGAAGACGGCUCUAUGAGUUGUAAACUGCUUUUGUACGAGGGUAAACGCAGAUACGCGUAUCUGUCUGCAAGUAUCGUACGAAUAAGGAUCGGCUAACUCCGUGCCAGCAGCCGCGGUAAUACGGAGGAUUCAAGCGUUAUCCGGAUUUAUUGGGUUUAAAGGGUGCGUAGGCGGUCGGAUAAGUUAGAGGUGAAAUCCCGAGGCUCAACUUCGGAAUUGCCGCUGAUACUGUUCGGCUAGAGAGUAGUUGCGGUAGGCGGAAUGUAUGGUGUAGCGGUGAAAUGCUUAGAGAUCAUACAGAACACCGAUUGCGAAGGCAGCUUACCAAGCUACUUCUGACGUUGAGGCACGAAAGCGUGGGGAGCAAACAGGAUUAGAUACCCUAGUAGUC
rnacentral:rRNA from 1 species